rnacentral:rRNA from 1 species
GCCAGACUCCUACGGGAGGCAGCAGUGGGGGAUAUUGCACAAUGGGGGGAACCCUGAUGCAGCGACGCCGCGUGGGUGAAGAAGCGCCUCGGCGCGUAAAGCCCUGUCAGCAGGGAAGAAAAUGACGGUACCUGAAGAAGAAGCCCCGGCUAACUACGUGCCAGCAGCCGCGGUAAUACGUAGGGGGCGAGCGUUAUCCGGAUUUACUGGGUGUAAAGGGAGCGUAGACGGUUAAUCAAGUCUGAAGUGAAAGCCCGCGGCUCAACUGCGGAACGGCUUUGGAAACUGAGUAACUGGAGUGCUGGAGGGGCAGGCGGAAUUCCUGGUGUAGCGGUGAAAUGCGUAGAUAUCAGGAGGAACACCGGUGGCGAAGGCGGCCUGCUGGACAGUAACUGACGUUGAGGCUCGAAAGCGUGGGGAGCAAACAGGAUUAGAUACCCGUGUAUG